GAUGAACGCUGGCGGCGUGCCUAAUACAUGCAAGUCGAGCGAACAGACGAGGAGCUUGCUUCUCUGAUGUUAGCGGCGGACGGGUGAGUAACACGUGGAUAACCUACCUAUAAGACUGGGAUAACUUCGGGAAACCGGAGCUAAUACCGGAUAAUAUAUUGAACCGCAUGGUUCAAUAGUGAAAGACGGUUUUGCUGUCACUUAUAGAUGGAUCCGCGCCGCAUUAGCUAGUUGGUAAGGUAACGGCUUACCAAGGCAACGAUGCGUAGCCGACCUGAGAGGGUGAUCGGCCACACUGGAACUGAGACACGGUCCAGACUCCUACGGGAGGCAGCAGUAGGGAAUCUUCCGCAAUGGGCGAAAGCCUGACGGAGCAACGCCGCGUGAGUGAUGAAGGUCUUCGGAUCGUAAAACUCUGUUAUUAGGGAAGAACAAAUGUGUAAGUAACUAUGCACGUCUUGACGGUACCUAAUCAGAAAGCCACGGCUAACUACGUG
rnacentral:rRNA from 1 species